GACGAACGCUGGCGGCGUGCUUAACACAUGCAAGUCAAACGAAGAGCGAUGGAAGCUUGCUUCUAUCAAUCUUAGUGGCGAACGGGUGAGUAACGCGUAAUCAACCUGCCCUUCAGAGGGGGACAACAGUUGGAAACGACUGCUAAUACCGCAUACGAUCUAAUCUCGGCAUCGAGGAUAGAUGAAAGGUGGCCCCUACAUGUAAGCUAUCACUGAAGGAGGGGAUUGCGUCUGAUUAGCUAGUUGGAGGGGUAACGGCCCACCAAGGCGAUGAUCAGUAGCCGGUCUGAGAGGAUGAACGGCCACAUUGGGACUGAGACACGGCCCAGACUCCUACGGGAGGCAGCAGUGGGGAAUCUUCCGCAAUGGACGAAAGUCUGACGGAGCAACGCCGCGUGAGUGAUGACGGCCUUCGGGUUGUAAAGCUCUGUUAAUCGGGACGAAAGGCCUUCUUGCGAAUAGUGAGAAGGAUUGACGGUACCGGAAUAGAAAGCCACGGCUAACUACGUG
rnacentral:rRNA from 1 species